rnacentral:rRNA from 1 species
GAUGAACGCUAGCGGCAGGCCUAACACAUGCAAGGUCGAGGGGCAUCGCGGUGCAGCAAUGCACUGGCAGCGACCGGCGUACGGGUGCGUAACGCGUAUGCAACCUGCCCCGCACCGGGGGAUAGCCCGCCGAAAGGCGGAUUAAUACCCCAUGGUCCCGGGGGCCCGCAUGGGCAUCCGGGUAAAGCCUUGGCGGUGCGGGAUGGGCAUGCGUGCCAUUAGCUGGCUGGUGGGGUAACGGCCCACCAGGGCAACGAUGGCUAGGGGGUCUGAGAGGAUGGUCCCCCACACUGGUACUGAGACACGGACCAGACUCCUACGGGAGGCAGCAGUGAGGAAUAUUGGUCAAUGGGCGGAAGCCUGAACCAGCCAUGCCGCGUGCGGGAUGAAGGCCCUACGGGUUGUAAACCGCUUUUCCCCGGGAAGAAUAAGCCCCCCCGCGGGGGGUGAUGCCGGUACCGGGGGAAUAAGGAUCGGCUAACUCCGUG